rnacentral:rRNA from 1 species
UACGAAGGGAGCUAGCGUUGUUCGGAAUCACUGGGCGUAAAGCGCACGUAGGCGGAUGUGUCAGUCAGGGGUGAAAUCCCGGAGCUCAACUUCGGAACUGCCUUUGAUACAGCACGUCUUGAGUCCGGAAGAGGUGGGUGGAAUUCCUAGUGUAGAGGUGAAAUUCGUAGAUAUUAGGAAGAACACCGGUGGCGAAGCGCCCACUGGUCCGGUACUGACGCUGAGGUGCGAAAGCGUGGGGAGCAAACAGG